UCAGGCUCAUAACCUGAAGGCCGCAGGUUCAAAUCCUGCCCCCGCAA
rfam:Rhizobium sp. YS-1r CONTIG.28, whole genome shotgun sequence.